GCUUGAAUUUCUGAGUUUCUCUUGAGAUAGAUAGAUUAUAUUCUGAGUUUCUUAAACAUUUCCUUCUCUGUGUUCGAUCGAUCAAUCUUCCUUCAAUAUAAUGGCUAUUUCUCUUGUCACUUUACUAAAUACAAUAGACUUCCAUUUUCUACAACCUCUUCCUUGUUUGAGUGUUGAUGAUAAAGAAAUAAUAAUGAUCGAAUCUUUGUGUAAGAAGCUCCGAUUUUUGCAAGCCUUUUUGGAGGAUUCUCAGAAGAACAACAUCAACUGCCCGGCAUGGACAGACUUGGAGACAGAGAUCAGAGAUGUAGCUGCUGAAGCGGAGAGCAAAAUUGAAUCAAAAUUAUAUAAACACUAUUUGUUCUACAACGAGAAGACAGAGAUCAGAGAUUUACCUGUUAAGCCUUGUGAGAGUCUUCAUCAGACCUUGCAACAAGUAACGGCAGACAUUGAAUCACUUCAACGGAGGAUUCUGCAGAUUCAGAACAAUCAUUCUGUAGAGCCGCCAAGAACAAACGCAGCAAUACAGAAUAUCAAAGCUGAUAGCUCCUCCAAACGUUCUACACAGCCCAACAAUGUAAUGGUAGGAUGCGACGAUGAGUUCGAUACAAUCAUGCACAAGCUCAUUUCACAUUCAAAUAAUCUGGAAGUCAUCUCAAUCACAGGAAUGGGAGGCAUCGGCAACACUACUUUAGCUCAAAGAGUCUACAAUGAUAAAGCUGCAAUUGCUUCUUAUUUUGACAUUCGAGCAUGGACUACUGUAUCUCAACAACACAAUCUUAGAGAUAUGCUUUGUGACCUUCUCGGUUCUAAUGACACCAACCGAGAUGUCUCUUAUCUAGCAAAUCAACUACGCCAAAAAUUGUUGGGUCACAGGUAUCUCAUUGUCAUAGAUGAUAUAUGGAGCACUCAAGCAUGGGAUGACAUUUAUAGAUGUUUUCCAGAAGAUUUCAAUGAGAGUCGAGUAUUGCUGACUACACGGCUUAAGCAGGUGGCUGACUACGCUAGUUCUGGUAACAAUCUUUAUUCCAUGCGAUUCUUAAAUCUCAAUGAAAGUUGGAAUUUAUUUUACAAGAAAGUAUUUGUAGAAAAAAAAUUUCCCCUUGAAUUUGAGAAAGUUGGUAGAGGUAUUGUUGAAAAAUGUCAAGGAUUACCUCUAACAAUUAUAGUGGUUGCUGGGCUUCUAUCCUCCUCAUCCAACAAGCCAUCACUAAAUCAGUGGGAGAAUGUUGUUGCAAAUUUGGAUCUGUUGCUUAACACUGAUCCCGAAAUGAAAUGUUCAAAAAUACUCUUACUAAGUUACAACCACUUGCCUCCGCAUUUGAAAGCUUGUUUUCUAUAUUUUGGGAUUUUCCGAGAAGAUAGUGUGAUUAAAGUAAAAAGGUUGAUUAGGCUAUGGAUUGCAGAGGGAUUUUUAAAAUUAGAGUUUAAUAAGACCAUGGAAGAAGUGGCAUAUGCUUACUUACAGGAUCUUGUGGACAGAUGUCUAGUUCAAAUUGAUGAGUGGGGUAAUUUUGACAACAAAAUCAAGUAUUGUAAGCUCCAUGAUGUUGUGCAUAGCUUUAGCUUGAGAGAGGCUCAGAGGGAGAAGCUUUUGUGUGUUAUAAAUGAGAAAAACAAUGUUGGAUUAGCAACAAGCAGCUUGGACCGAAAAGCUUGCCGUCGGGUCCUCAGUUAUCAAUUAAUUAGCCAUAUAGAUGAUGAGCCAAUUAGUCGAUCCCAUGAUGAAUUGCGUUCUUUUCUAUAUCUUCCUCAUCAUUCUAUUAUCAGUGUUUACUUCAAUUCCAGGAUACUUCCCUAUUCUAAACUGUUAAGGGUGUUGAACAUGAGUCAAUCUUAUCUAAAUCACCUACCAAGGGAAAUAGUGAAUCUUGUUCAUUUGAGAUACUUAGCCUUAUACCUUGUCAAGGGGGCAUCUAUUAAUGAUUACCAAUGGUGUAAGCUUCGAUGUUUGCAGACUAUCAUUAUUGAGGAUUAUUCUGCUUCUUUUACACCAAAUAAUAUUUUGGGUUUGCCACAAAUAAGGCAUGUUCACUUCUCCCACAUGAGUCUUAAUUACCUCCAUCUCCCAAAGUUGGUUCAAGGAAAUCUACAAACUCUAUCUUCGUUGAGUCUACCUCAUCGUUUGCAAACUGAGCUAGACUUCAAAGUGAUUCCAAACGUAAAGGAACUUGGGAUUCACUUAAUGGGCUAUAACCGUUUUUACAAAAUGCCUUAUUUAGGUGAAGAAAUUUGGGGUUCACUACCACCUAUUUCAAUGGAAGGUCUUCUCAAUUUGCAUCAGCUGGAGAACUUAAAAUUUGAAACAGAUCCACAUUGUCCGAAAUGUGACAGCAAACUUCUAAAAGCUUUUCCACCAAAUCUCAAGAAGUUAACCCUCGGAGGAACAAAAUUUUCAUGGGAUGAUAUGGCCAUUAUUAGCACAUUACCUAACCUUGAGGUUCUAAAAUUGAGAGGUGAUGCUUUCUGUGGCCCAGAGUGGAAAGCAACAAGAAAUGGCUUUUGCAAAUUAAAGUAUUUGCAAGUUCAUGCAUAUUCAAGUCUCAAGCAUUGGAGUGUGGAUGCUGAUCAUUUCCCCGUUCUUGAACGCAUAUUUCUUAAUCACUGUUAUCUUUUGAUGGAAUUUCCAAUUGGUUUCGGUGAAAUUAACACAUUGCAGUUAAUUGAAUUAAAGAAUUGUUCCUCCCUCCUUGUGACUUCUGCUAAAAGUUUACAAGAAGAGCGGCGGGAUCUUGGAGACAAUAAACUUGUUCUCCAAUUUUAUCCUGGCCCAAGGUAAUAUUUUCUAAUUUAAUUUGCAACCUAGCAAUGUUUCUGAGCCUAUCUUGUGAUUCAGUGGGUUGGUUAUUUUCUUCCAACUUUAUUCUCAUUUAUUCCCUUCAUGUUUCUUCUAUUCCCAAAAUGUUGAAUCUCCAACCCUAAGAACUCCUCAUAUUGAUUCAACUUAGUUAUUUAAUAUUUCAAUUUUUUUUACCUUCAUUUAUACUCCGAUCCGUAUAUAUUUUAUUAAUAUACUAAUAGAUUUUUAUUGUUUGUGUUAUAGAUGCAACUUCAGAAAAGAAAAGCUGAGGGUGACAAAACAGGUACUGUAUGAGUCAUGAGUGUAUGUAUAUAUAUAACAGUGACUAAUGUAUAUAGGUACCACGGCUCCUCCAUUCCCAAAGUCAAAGAUUGAACCAUUGAUCCUUUGGUUAAGGAUGGAUGAGUCUCUUCCACUCAACCACACUAGUCAAUAUCACCUCCACCAAGGCUUGAACCCACAACUUUUCAGAUGAGGGAGUAACUUGUAUCACUGGACAACAAAGUCCUUGGUAAAUUAUAGAGUAUAUUGAUUACUCCGUAUUUACAUUUUGUUUUUAUGAUAUGAUGUAAACAAACAUUUGCACAAUAAUUCUUUUUUAAUCUAGAAUAUUUCUUUUUUUCUUCCUAAAA